rnacentral:rRNA from 1 species
UUGUUUGGGAAUGCAGCUCUAAAUGGGAGGUACAUUUCUUCUAAAGCUAAAUAUUGGCCAGAGACCGAUAGCGACAAGUAGAGUGAUCGAAAGAUGAAAAGCACUUUGGAAAGAGAGUCAAACAGCACGUGAAAUUGUUGAAAGGGAAGCGCUUGCAGCCAGACUUGCUUACAGUUGCUCAUCCGGGUUUUUACCCGGUGCACUCUCUGUAGGCAGGCCAGCAUCAGUUUGGGCGGUAGGAUAAAGGUCUCUGUCACGUACCUCCUUUCGGGGAGUGCCUUAUAGGGGAGACGACAUACUACCAGCCUGGACUGAGGUCCGCGCA